rnacentral:tRNA from 1 species
GGGAAUGUGGCUUAGUGGUAGAGUGCUUGUUUAGCAUGCAUGAAGCCCUGGGUUUGAUUCCUCAAUACCA